rnacentral:rRNA from 1 species
GCAUAUCAAUAAGCGGAGGAAAAGAAACUAACAAGGAUUCCCCUAGUAACUGCGAGUGAAGCGGGAAAAGCUCAAAUUUAAAAUCCUGAGGGUCUUUAUGGCNUUCCGAGUUGUAAUCUAGAGAAG